AGCCGAAACAGCGGAUUCGUCCGCUGUCCGUCGGGAAUGGUCGCCCGACGCUGAUGAUGGCAGACCGCA
rnacentral:hammerhead_ribozyme from 1 species